AAAUGAGAAUUUGCCCCCUGAAUCGUGGAUGGAUUUGGCAUGUGAUCUAAAGACACACACGUGGCAGAUGUUCUGGGGGUCUAUUUACUGGAGGUUAGGGCUGGUGUCUGUUGGUUGGUCAUGGCCUGUGCCAUUCCCAUCAUUAAACGUUUCAGGCCAGGCAUGGUUUUCUUCAUGAGAAACAUUUAUCAACAAUAACCCCCCUUGGAUAUAGCGAGAUUCCCUUCCCCCAUUAACAGUGUCACAUGUCAAUUUAUGUGGCAGAGAGUUUACACAAGGGUGCCGUGGUGGUUAUGAGCCAGGGGGAAGCAAGCUGGCCUCCUUGGCAAGGCCUCUUGGCUGGGAGCUGGGAGCCCAAAACUGUGUCUCUUGAAUGGUUGUGUUAGAAUAGCCUUUCAGUUUUGUGAUACUACAUCUACCUCCUUGAGCUGUCGUACAUGGACUGAGGUACCCAUCUGUAGUAGCUAUUGGGCUCUCUUGCAUCUGAUUAGUUUGAUUUUGUUUAAGGAAAGCUAGAAUCUUUGAAUUCUGAAAGAUAAGUCCCUGGAGAAAAAUGUUAGGCCUUGCAAGCUUUUUAUCCUGAAGUUUAGAUGGAAGCUUAAUUCAAGUAAGAUGUCUUUAUAUCUGAAAAUCAGAGAUGCUCUAGGUGCAACUUAAAGUUGCAUUUCAAACAUUCAGGCUAUGGUCGUUUCCCUAGAGUGCUUACUUAUACAAUGACAGCAGACUUUGUUUCAGAGCCUGGAUUCUUUUUUUGACAUCACACAUGUAUGUUAACACUAAAACUAUACUGAACUUACUAUCUUGGAAGGUACACUUUAUAAAUGGAUAAUACUUAGCAAAAAUUCUGUUUGGCAUCCUUGGACGUUUGUGCAAAUACACAUUUGUAUGUUUCCAUGAGGUUACACCAGUGUGUGGUGGUAGAUACUUUCUACCAUGCAUUUUCUUUCCCAAAUCAAAGGUUUUUACUUUUUUUUUUUUUUUGAGACAGAGUUUUGCUCUUGUUGCCCAGGCUGGAGUGCAGUGGCGCAAUCUCGGCUCACUGCAACCUCCACCUCCUGGGUUCAAGCGAUCCUCCUGCCUCAGCCUCCCGAGUAGCUGAGAAUAGAGGUGUCCACCUCCACACCCAGCUAAUUUUUUGUAUUUUAAGUAGAGAUGGGGUUUCACCAUGUUGGCCAGGCUGGUCUCGAACUCCUGACCUCAGGUGAUCCACCUGCCUCGGCCUCCCAAAGUGGUGGGAUUACAAGCGUGAGCCACUGCACCCAGCCGAUUUUUACCUAUUUUUCUUAACAUAUAUAGUUGUUUUUCUUUUUUUCCCAAAGGGUCUUACAAAUUAGAAAAACUGCUAAAUACUUGGUUGCUGUUUCUAUAUAUUUCUUUCUAGAGUUGUUCUAGAAAGUACUGAAAGGUGUUCACUCUUUAGUUUGGGAAGAUAGUGUCUAAAUUCUGCAUAUACUAUUGUAUGCUGUGGGCUGGAACACAGUGUUUGCUCUGAAAACCUGAGCAAGAUAUCUCUGAUUUUAACCUAUGCCUGUGUCUCCAUUAGUUAAAAAAAAGAGAGAGAAAAAAGACAGAGGGGACAAAGGUCGAGUAUAAGAGCCGUGUUAGUGUCAGAGCAAGGAAGGAAGGACUCCCAACCGUGUGGCAAAUGUGCAGUUGCCACGUUACCUUCUUCUCCUUGGGUGGCACUGUGGCGCCCGACCUAGUGUCUUUAACGUGACUGUCAGCCCGGGAUGGCUCAGCAUGACUGUUUGAAUUUACAUCCAUAAAGGAACACUUCUGGAAUGCCUAAGGAAUUAAAAUACUGAGGUUAACAGGGAUCCAAGGGUACUGAGGAGAAUGGAGGGAAACAGGCAGGAACAACCAGACGCUUGUGGACCCCAACCCGGGUCCUGCACGCAGGUUUAGGCCAGGGAGGCAGCACCCUGAAAUCCUGCUCCUCACGUGCUCUCAUGUUGACAAAGCUGGCUUGGAGGCAGAGUCCGAGGCAAAGGCUGCCUUCCUUUCUUGGGGAAUGCCAAGAUAAAAUAGACAUUACUACCUUUUCUGCCUGUCUGGGGUGAACAUAAAUUGGUACUUAGGAGGGCUUCUUGCUUUGACAUUUAAAAAAUGCUCAAUAUGUAAAUAAAUUAAAACAAAAAACUAUCUUUCUUUUUUAUUCCUCUUUUUUUAUGAGUUUUAUUGAAAUUAUACAGCAAAAGCUCACAAGACGUUUUAAACCUUUAAGUCUUACAAUAAAAGUACUCUUAGCAAUCCUUCUCUGAAAUAGUAACAGGUACUACCGCGCUCCGAGGUGUUCUGAGGCUCAUUUAGAGUAAAGUGAUGCUUUUAAGCAACGAUGUCAUUCCGAGUGGCCUAGGAGCUGCCUGAACCCUGGAGAUUUGUCUCUGAAAACUAUAAGAGCCAACUGUUGGCUCUUGUGAACUUCAGUCAGGAAGGUCAGUUCUCAGACAAAGGGAGAAAGUAUAGACAUAGACUGUGUCUACAGGGCUAAAAAGGAAGCGGGCAUGUGGGCAAUGCCCAGAUAAUAUGAUCAUGAGAGAAGGAGAGACUGGUAACUCAGGGACCCAAGUUUAUGGACAACAGUGGUUCUCAACCAGGCUAUAUACCACCCAGGUUAAAAAAAAAAUACUGUUGUUCUCAAAUACUCUUGAGACCCCACUCAGAGAAUACACAAAUCAGAAUCUCUGAGCUGUAGGAUUUUUUUUUAACUCCCAAAGUAAUUCUAAUGUGCAGCUAGGAUUAAAAACUAUUUUUAUUUGUUUGUUUGUUUGUUUAUUUAUUUGAGGCAGAGUCUCUCCCUGUCGCCCACGCUGGAGUGCAGUGGUGAGAUCUCAGCUCACUGCAACCUCUGCUUCCCGGGUUCAAGCAAUUCUCCUGCCUCAGCCUCCCAGGUAGCUGGGAUGACAGGCACCCGCCACCACGCCUGGCUGAUUUUUUUGUAGUUUUAGUAGAGAUGGGGUUUCACCAUGUUGGCCAGGCUGGUCUCAAACUGCUGACCUCAAGCAAUCUGCCCACCUCAGCCUCCCAAAGUGCUGGGAUUGCAGGUAUAAGCCACUGUGCCUGGUGAAAGACCACUUAUUUAAAUGAAUCAGCCUAAAUAAUUGCCUAGUGUUUUCUUUAUGUCAAAUGUUGUCAUUUGGAGAUAUCUCUGCCAGCAGAAAGAAUAAUGUAUGUCCUCCCUCAGUAAACAUUCCAACACUGGUCCUAAAAUCUGAAGGUGGCUGAUGAGGGACUUUCUCUGGCCUUUUCUUCCAUGACUGUUUGCUCCCCUGUCUCUGCUGUACCUGGUCUCCUUGCUGUUCCUUAGUCAUACCAGUCCUAGCUUGCCCCGGAUGUGUUUGGUUUAUCCGCUUACUUAGAAAGCUGCUUACAAAUGCCAAUUGCCAUCUCCUUUGAGCUAUUAGACCCUCGAUUUCAGAGCCUGUGUUUUCUUCUGAUGCCUGGAGAUGUGGAGCACAGAAAGUGGUUCCACAACUGUCCUUAGAAGGGGCCACAGCUGCUCCUUGUCCUGCCUUGAGAAGGUGCAGAAACAAGAGAAUCAUUAUGGCCACUGGCCAUUGAUCGAGUUGCGGAUUUAGCAGGCUGGGUUUCUAUCCCAGCCAGAGGGCUAACAGGGUUUGGUUAAGUUAAGGUUAGAGCACUUCAUUCACCACGCUUUUUUUUUUUUUUUUUUUUUUGAGACAGAGUUUCACUCUUGUCACCCAGGCUGAAGUGCAGUGGUGUGAUCCUGGCUCACUGCAACUUCCACCUCCCGGGUCCAAGUGAUUUUCCUGUCUCAGCCUCCCGAGUAGCUGGGAUUACAGGCACCCACCACCAUGCCCAGCUAAUUUUUGUAGUUUUUAGUAGAGAUGGGGUUUCGUUAUGUUGGCCAGGUUGGUCUCGAACUCCUGACCUCAGGUGAUCUGCCCGCCUCAGCCUCCCAAAGUGCUGGGAUUACAGACAUGAGCCACCAUGCCUGGCCACCACUUUUAUUAUGUAACCACCAAGAAUAUGACAUGAAGCCAGAUAUGCCAAUGUCUGUACAGUGGUCAAAGAGGGCAUCAAAUAUUUAGACUUCAAUGGAGAAGAGUGUCCCUCAGUGGUGGGCUGUAAGUGGCUGCAACAAAUUUAGUAUUUCUCUUAGAGAGGUGUAAAAAAUUAUCCACAAGCCUGAAAGAUACCAGCUUUAUAAAUCUGUAGUUCCUAUGAAAACAAUUAUCCAAGCCUUCUAAAAACCUGCAAAUAGCCUGAUUGGUUGCGGGGAUGUCCCAGGCUAGUCUGUGAGUUUUAGUGAAGUGUGAAAGGGCUCACGUAUGUGACAAAUCAACCAGCAGUUCUGUUUUCCCUGCAAAAUCCAGGCAGCUCAAUUUUGGCAGUUAUUACCAUGGAAACCAGAGUAGAACAAGUGCAGUAAAAACAAUGUAGAUUGAAAAUUCUCCCUACUCCAAAGAAAAGAGGAAAAUUUAUGGGUUGGCACAAAGCCAUUGGUACGUCGGUAAAAAGCUAACAUGUUUUUGAGCCCCAAGGUGCUGGUGUUCCAACUAUCUGAUUGACAGAAAAAUCCUAUAAGAAGCAUGAGGCAAAUGAAAUACUCUACACAAAGUUUGUUCUAGGAAUUGUUUAUAUGUCUCUGAUGAGACAAGUUCUCAGGACAUAGACCUGGGGUAGAAUCACAUCCGUGAUGGGAAUGUGGGAUCAGUUUUGGGCACAGCCUUGGCACGCCAUCCUUCAUCCUAUGAGUGGACUGUGUCAUAGUUAAAAAAUAAAUAUCUAAAACUGAUACAGUAUCAUUUCUCAAAUAGACCAAGGAAAAUGGAAAACAAAAUAAUUCAGCUUUUCAGAAUAUCUGAAAAGAUGACAUUGAUAUUGAACAGGGACCUGGUUAUGGACCACAGGAGGCCAGUCAUUGGCCUUGAGUCCAUGAUCCAAGGUCAGUGGCUCUAAGUGGUAAAGCCAAGGAACGGGAACCCACGUAACGUGUCCUUCAGUCUGUCCUUAUCAAGACAGGACAAUGGCUGGUAUUUCUAAUCCUUAUCUUACUUGCUUUUGAAAUGAAGCAGAAUCUCUUAAGAUGGAAAGAAAGGAAAGUCAAUUUUACAGCCAGAGGUAGGAAAGCGUGAGUUGUUUUGUGAAAUGGUCAUUCCUUGCACAUCUUAUAGGCAUCCUGAGAGCCUUGUUCAGCGCCAUCUUGGGAAAGCAAAGGCUAAGGCCAGAAGACACAGCUUCUAUGGUCCCGGUCCAUGCGCUUCCCUGGCCUUCUCGCUAACAAAUCUGUGAGUGCCAUGGCUGGAGAGACCCAGGCGGGAGGCAAGGAGCCAAUGUCAGUCACCUCAUCCACAUACCUGGAGUUCUGCCAUUAUUUUGUCUCCUUCUUCUUCUUCUUCCUCCUCAUCCUUUGAGGAGGAGGUGGUGACAGGCGGUGGGGAUGGGGUCCAGGCUGAAGCAGGCUCCUCUGCUGGAUAUUUUGUAGCUCUGGUCUGUGGGCUUGGUCCAGCAUCUUCACUGCUUGCCUGUGGGAGAUUGAAACAACAGAUAGUGGUUUAACAUCUCCUAGGUGCUAGCAAAAAAGGGACAGAUCGUAUGGUCCCUCACUGUCUAGAACACUUGCUUCCUAGAUCUUAGCUGAGAAAAUAGCUGAAAGGCUAUUUUAUUCCUUUGCAUUUAGUUUGUAUUUGUGUUUGCAUAAGUUGUCAUUUUGGUGAAUGGAUUAAAUAAUUAUAAUAUAAUUGGAACUCCUCAACAUUCAGUGUCUUUGAUAUGGUUUGGCUGUGACCCCACCCAAAUCUCAUCUUGAACUGUAGCUCCCGUAAUUCCCACGUGUCAUUGGAGGGAUCAGGUGGGAGGUAAUUGACUCAUGGGGGCAGGUCUUUCCCGUGCUGUUCUCGAGGUGGUGAAUAAGUCUCACGAGAUCGGACCGUUUUAUAAAUGGGAGUUCCCCUGCACAAUCUCUUUCUUGCCUGCCACCAUGUGAGAAGUGCCUUUGCUCUUCCUUCAUCUUCUGCCAUAAUUGUGAGACCUCCCCAGCCACAUGGAACUGUGAGUCCAUUAAAUCUCUUCCCUUUAUCACCCAGUCUCAGGCAUGUCUCUAUCAGCACCCUGAGAACAGACUAAUACAGUCCUCAUGAAAGGCCCUCCCAUACUGCAUCUCUUUGGAAAUUGUGUUUUACAUUUAACAUGAAAGCUAACACUUGGUUAGUUAAGUGGAAUUUAAAGCUCAUUGAACAUCUUUCUGUAUAGACUCCCACAACGGUGUCAGCUCACCUCAGUUACCUUUGGAAGAUAAUCUUUCUUGCGUUUCCCCCUCCUACCCUCAUUUUCAAUCUUAUGAUGCCCACAUGGGAAAUAGCUUGUGAUUUGCAUUUCAUAUUGUUGCAGCUAAAAGUAAAAUAAGGAUAAAACUCAUGGUCUGGGUCUAGUCCAAUCAUACUGGCUGCCAUUGUUCCAUCUGUGGUGCUUCCUGGGGAUCUUGUGUGGUCGAGUUACUACUUCUCUGCCUCACUACUUUUUAUGUUCCAACAGAGAGAACCUUGUCUAAGGGUAUCAUCUGAACCCAGAGGCCAGUUUACCAGGGCUUAGCCUAUCAGACCUUAGCGGUGAUGUUCUCCUUUCUGCCGGUGUAGACCACAUCGCCUGACCUCGUGGUGGUGAGUCCCGAUCCUGGCAGGUAGCUUCGACGAGGAGGUGGCGGAGGAGGAGGGGGCGACUUUCCCCCCAGCUUUUCCAAGUCCUGUUCCGAAUUUGGAGAAUCUUCUGGAAAACAGUGCACCAUUACAAGAAUAAUCUUUUUUCAAGAAAACAUCCAGAAAGUCUGGUAUAUUGCUACAAACCCAAUGCAAUCUGAUUUAAAAAUUUUCUGUUCUCUCCAUAGAGCAAGGAUUAAGUGUAUAGACCCUAAAGAGUGACUGGAUUUAAAUCCCAAAAAGACCCUGCACAAGUUACUAAACCUCUCUCGGUCUCAGUUUUCUCAUCUGUUAAAUGGGUAGUAUAAUAUACUUUCCUCUGGGGUGUCAUAAGGAUUGAAUGACUUAUACGCUGAGCUUGGCAUAGUGUAAAUGCUAUGUAAAGUAUUACCUACUAUUAUUAAAUAACAUUCUUGUUAUGGAAAAAGCUGAGUAUUACUUGGAUAGAUAAAAAAAAAAAAUUGAAGCCCAAAGGCAAAUCCAUAGCCCCUGGCUUGGCCUCCAAAUACUUCAUCCCUCAGUCUGAAAAAACAGUAUCAGCAAGAGGGGUUUCUGCUGAAGGUCAAUGUCAGAGUAGAAUCUGGCUUAGGGAGGGCCAGAGAAAAAAUGGGAUGCAAAUGAGAACAAAGAACAAAGUUGGAGAGGAAGUGGAUUUGAUUUUUUUAAUUAAACAAAUUUUUUAAUUUUUUUUAUUUUGUAGAUAGGGUCUCACUGUCACUCACUCUGGAAUGCAGUGGUGUGAUCAAGGCUCACUGAGGCCUCAGCCUCCGGGGCUCAGGUGAUCCUCCCACCUUAGCCUCCCUAGUAGCUGGCAUUACAGGUGUGUGUCACAACACCUGGCUAAUUUCUUUUCUUUUCUUUUUUUUUUUACAGGCGGGGUUUCUGCCAUGUUGCACAGGCUGGUCUUGAACUCCUGGGAUCAAGCAAUCUGUCUGCCUCAGCCUCCCAAAGUGCUGGGAUUACAGGUGUGAGCCACUGCACCAGGCCUUUUUUGUUUUAUUUUUGAGACAGGGUAUUGCUCUUUCACUCAGGCUGAAGUGCAGUGGUGCCAUCACGGCUCACCUCAGCCUCAAACUCCUGGGCUCAAGCAAUCUUCCUGCCCCAGCCCAGAGUAGCUGGAACUGCAGGUGUGUGCCACCAUGCCCAGCGGAUUUUUUAAUUUUUGUAAAGAGGGGGGUCUCACUAUGCUGCCCAGGCUGCUCUUGAAGUCCUGGCUUCAAGUGAUUCCUCCUGUGUUGGCCUCCAAAAGCACUGGGAUUAUAGGCAUGAGCCACCACGCCAGCCUUUAUCAAUUUUUGAUCACUACCCAUAUUCCUCCAUUAUCCAAGUAGUCAGAAAAUUCACACAAGGGGAAAUACAAAUGGUAUUUAAAACUCUACACUUAGAAAUUUGCCUCCUUAAUAAACAAAAAUACAUUAAAAAUGAUAACUCCAUGACAAAUAAAUUAAAAUGACAGAAACUAAUGUUUACAGGUCACGGAUGCUACCUUUACACAUCUCUGGUAGCCUGUCCAUCACUGUACUGUUUCUGAGACCAGGUCAGAGAUGCAUUAAAAAAGAAAAAACAAGAGCAUUUUAACUAAGUCAAAAUACCUUGGGGAGUAAUUUAAAAGUGAUUUAGGCAAAUUUAAAAAAUCAGAUAGAAUCAAGAGCCAAAAUGAGGUAAGUGAACAAAAUGUAAUAUGUUUUUGUUGUUCAAUCAUGAGAAGGAACAGUUAUGAGACCUAUAUAAAACAUCAAAGGACUCUAUGACAAAAUUAAUAAUGGGGCAGAGAGAACAGAAUUACACAAGAUAAAAAUGUGAUGAGCUGGCCGGUGACUCAGGCCUGAAAUCCCAGCACUAUGGGAGACCGAGGCAGGUGGAUCACCUGAGGUCAGGAGUUCGAGAUCAGCCUGGCCAACACGGUGAAACCCAUCUCUACUAAAAAUACAAAAAUUAGCUAGGCGUGGUGGUGGGUGCCUGUAAUGCUAGCUAUUUGGGAGGCUGAGGGAGAAGAAUUGCUUGAACCCAGGAGGCGGAGGUUGCAGGGAGCCAAGAUCAUGCCACUAAACUCCAGCCUGGGUGACAGAGUGAGACUCAGUCUCAAAAAAAAAAAAAAAAAUGUGAUGAGCUAGGGCAUUUUCUCCAUCAGAAAUUCUCCACGGGGACUGUGAGAGGAAAGUCACUUUGUGUGAGAAGAGCCGCCCCGCCCAGGACCCUAGACAGACCUGACACAGCUGGAUGGUGGGGAAAGGUGUAAGAAAAGCCUCUUAGCACAGACUGAGGGGGAGGGAUGCAGUGAGUGGAACUUUAGGGGAUGAAAUGGAUGAAAACUGGGGAGGAGACAAGUGCAGUUGGUCCUCUGCAUCCAUGGGUUCCACAUCUGUGGAUUCAACCAACUGCAGAUGGAAAAAUAUAUAUAUAUAUAUAAAUUCCCUCCACAUUCCAAAAAAUAAAACUUGAAUUUGCCUUGUGCCAAGUACUAUGUUGAAUCCACACAAAUGAAGUAAUGUGUAGGCAUUGUAUUAGGUAUCAUAAGUAAUGUAGAGAUGAUUUAAAGUAUAUGGAGGCAGGCAGCAGAAUCACACUGCUGAAGUGUUCUGGCCCGUAAAGUAUAUGGGAGGAUGUGAGUAGGUUACAUGCAAAUACCAUGCCAUUUUAUACCAGGAACUGGAACGUCCUCAGAUUUUGGUAUCCAAUGGGAGUCCUGGAACUAAUCUCCCAUGGAUACCAAGGGAUGACUGUACGGUGGUUAUAAAUGGAAUACACUUUAAUGUUUCUCAACAUGCAAGUCAAGAUGGGGAUUCCUUUCCAAAUUAAUUUUAGUUGCUGGAUAAGGCACUGUGGAAUGUGACACUGCAGAGACAUUAGACUGCAAGUAAAAUAACAUCCGGGUCCAUAAUUUUAAGAUCAGAAUAAGACGCGUGGCUUGUAACUGAUAGGAUAUUUAAUAGGUUGAGAUUCUUAGAAGUUAUAUUAUUAUUCACAUGUUGGCAUUUAACUUCCAUAGUUGAGUUGGUUAAAUACAUAUUCUAAUAAUUUUGAUUAAAAAAUGCAAUUUUGCCUUAUGAUCUAAUAUCCCCCGAGAGCUCAUAAAAGCUACCAUUUUCUUUCUGCAAAAGCUCUUGUCUUAAAUGCAGGCCUAAUAUUUUCCCAGCUCUUGCUGUGAAGUAUCACAAAUGCAUAGAAAACGCAAACACUAUGAAUUUAAAUUUUCCUUUAUUGGCCAUUAUUCUAGAAUCCUAACACAGAACUCAGCUUCUCUACUGUGGUUAGCAUAAAACAGUAGUAGUGAAAUCAAGUGUGGCUCAAGCCUGUAAUUCUAGCUACUCUGGAAGCUAAGGUGGGAGGAUUGCUUGAGGCCAGAAGUUCGAGACCAGCCAAGGCAACAGAGGAAGAAACCUGUCUCUAAAAAAAUAAAAAAAAAUUAGACAUGUGCAGUGGUGUACACAUCUACAGCCCUAGCUACUUCUUGGGAGGCUGAGGUGGGAGGAUUGCUUGAGCCCAGUAGUUGGAAGUUAUAGUGAGCUAAGAUCAUACCACUACACUCCAGCCUGGGUGGCAGAGCAAGACCCCAUUUCAAAAACAAAAAAAAAAACAAAAAAAAAAAACAAAAAGAGAGAGAUAGUAGUAAAGAUCUAAGGAACACCAGAGGAUUUGCUCUUCCAGGUUUUACAUUUUGUAAGAUUUGUAAGAACUGAGACAUUGGUUCUGUUGAUGAGUAUGUGCUGUCGUGGAUGGCACUGUAUUUGCCCAAAGCCAUGUACCUCCAUAUAUUCCUGCUGUGGGACCGGAACUUACCUGAAAGUUCCACCUUGUCCACUGGGGCAUCUCCCCUUGGCAGUGGGCCUGUGGCUGGCGGCAUCUCCAGAUUUGGUAUUGACUUCAUGAUAUUGGCCUGAGCUUCUUCUAGGAGCUUCUCAAACUCUUUCCCAUUAUAGUGAUCCAGAUUUUGCCUUUUUUCCUCCCAUUUCUUUUCUGCUUUCUGGAGGAAUAUAGCACGUAAAGGAAGUUACGUGGACACAUAGAGGAGAACAACGGACACUGGGACCUCUCAGAGGGUGGAGGGUGGGAGGAAGGAGAGGAUCAGGAAAAAUAACUAAUGGGUACUGGGCUUAAGACCUGGGUGAUGAAAUAAUCUGCACAACAAACCCAUAUGACAUGUUUACUUAUGCAACAAACCUGCAAUUGUACCCCUGAACUUUAAAAAAGAUGCUUUUAAAAGUAUUUUUUCUACUACCAAGAUGUAUUUUUUUAGAGGCAGGGUCUCAAUCUGUCAUCCAAGCUGCAGUGCAGUGGUGUCAUUAUAGCUCACUGCAGCCUCCAACAUCUGGGCUUAAGCAAUCCUCCUGCCUCAGCCUCCUGAGUAACUAGGAUUACACAUGUUCAGCCACCACACAUGGCUAAUUUUUUUUUUUUUUAAGUAGCAAUGGGUUCUGUUACGUUGCCCAGGCUGGUCUUAAACAACCUGCCUCAAGGAAUCCUUCUGCCCUGAGUGAGACAUGAGUCUCACUCAAUUAAAAAAAAAAUUAGGCUGGGCAUGGUGGCUCAUGCCUAUAAUCCAAAGUGCUGGGAUUACAGGCAUGAGCCACCAUGCCCAGCCUAAAAUUUUUUUAAAUUGAGUUUUCAUUGUAGAAGAGAUGUCCAAGCAAACAAACAAAACCCACAACACUAAGAACAAAAAUCCUGUGUCUUAGUACCACUUCUAUCAAAGAAUUGCUAUAUGCCCUCUGGGUCACAUUGUCCUACUUAUAAAAUGAGGGAGGAGGUAUUAUUUAGAUGACCUGUAAACUCCUUUAAGUUCCACAACAGAGAGUUAUACAUAAAAUGCAUUUUAAAACAUCUGCAUACUUUUUAAAAGAAUGUUUUCUGUGACUUUUGAACCAGCACAUUAAUAAUUCUAAGGGGGCAGAGUGGAAAUUCACACCAAGAUUAGUGGAACCUUAUAACCUAAGAAUUGGCAAAGAUCAUUGAAUCAACAUAUGGGAACUUUGAGGUCCAGCGAGAUGGAGAAUUUGCCCAAGUUUCAUUACAUAUAAAUAAUAGCCACCACCUUCACCAUUCUAACCCUCCUUUAUUUUUUCUUCCUAGCAUUUAUUACCACCUGGCAUAUACUUUUUUUCUGUCUCUUCCUACAAGUAGGUAAGUGUCUUGAGGGCAGAGACUUUGUCUCUUCUGUUCACUGGCUUUCCCCCGAGCCUACGAGGGCCUGGUACAUAACAGGCUCAGUAAUCUCUGUUGAAUGAAUAAAGCUCACCCCAUUUGUCAGUGGCAGAGCUGGCAGAAAAACCCAGGCCUCCAUACCUGUGGAUCAGGGCAUUUUCAGAGAUGACUCGUGUCUCCUCUCAAAGCGUAAAAUACACACAUCACAAUGAUAACUAUGCCCACUAGGUUCUCAACAGAGAUUUGUUAAAUAAGAGUGCCAUCAUACUGACAUCCUUUAAAUGUUGAGAUGUUUAAAGUGGCAAGACGUCUUAAGUGACGGAUCUGCCAAUUCUUAGGAGGAAAUGUCUUUCCCUCCCCUGCCCUACUAGGUACUGGGAAUAGAAUCACACUCUGUCAAUCACAUUUCUGUACCCUUGUGAUAUGCGUUUUUAAAAUAGCUGGCUCUGAUUAGAGGCAAGCCAGGGCCCUUGCGACACAGAGAAACCACCUAGUGUUCAGAGGCCCCGAGGCUGCGACCGUGGCUGUGGCAGUUUUGCCAGGUCGUCUCGAUAUACCCAACCUGACCUCUCCACUGGUGACUUUCAGUAGAGGCAGGAGGGUUACGACAAGGUUGUUGGGUGAUAAAGCAAAUGAGUGGAGGAAAAGUUACGAGGCAAGAAGAAAAAAGAAGUAGAAAAGACAAAUGUGUUAUCGGAGCACUGGUACCAGCCCUUGAUAAAAAGAAUAUUUAAAAACAUAAUAUGUCAUUUGAUCUUAUGAUUUUUAAGACAGGGUCUCACUCUGUCGCCCAGGCUAGAGUGCAGUGGCGUGAUCUUGGCUCACUGAAGCCUUGACCUCCCUGGGCCUGGGUGAUCCACCCACCUCAACCCCCUGAGUAGCUGGGGCUACAGGCACGCGCCACCAUGCCCAGCUAAUUUUUGUAUUUUUUUUGGUAGAGUUGGGACUUUGUCAUGUUGCCCAGGCUAGUCUUGCACUCAUGUUCCAGUGAUCGACCCGCCUCGGCCUCCCAAAGUGCUGGUAUUACAGGUGUGAGCCACCACACAUGGCCUCAUGUCAUUUGGUCUUAAGACCUAGUUUUCUCUUUUCAUUCUGACUGCUCUACCGUUCAUUCUUAGAUGACUAUAGUAAUUUCUCAUCCAGCUCUCUUAAUUCUAGACCCACCACCUCAAUCAAUUCUGUACGUUGUUUCUAGAUUAAUUUCCAGAAGAUGCCAUUUAAAAAAAAUCACGGAUUAGAGCUGCAGCAUUUCUCUGAUACCUUCCAAAUAAACUCCAAACAUCAUGGACUGUUUUUCAAGCACUCAAGUCAGUUUCCAGCCCAUUUCCCCAGUCUUAGGUCCUCGUUCUUGUUCCACUUAGACAGGCUUAGUCAUGGUCCCAGACUUUGAUCCAGCAUUUUAGUAUCCUAGGAUGCCCUCACCACCCUCCCAUGCUAACCAGGUUCCACUUAUCAUCUAGAUGUGUGGCAGACCCUCCCCAGGCUGCCUUCACCUCAGUGGAGUGCUUGAAGCCGGCUUGUCCUGGCCCAGGAGAGCUGAUUGUUACAUUUCUCCCAACUUCAGCAGUAGUGGUGUCAUGUCAUAACUUGAAAUCAGCCAUGGUUGCGAUAUUUACACCAUGGAAAUUGGCAAAUGCCACACACAGAUCUGCACGCACCCACUCUGCCCCCCCACCCCGCCGCCACAACCGCUACCAGAGAGCUGGUUGUUAAACAUUUACCAGCACACUGCUGUCUCACCUUCCUACAGGCCAGGUGUCUCACCUUCCUACAGGCCAGGUGUCUCACCUUCCUACAGGCCAGGUGUCUCACCCUUCUCUGAAACCACAUGACCUAUCUCUUAACCUGGCCACUGAAUCCCACUUCCACUUCCAAAACCCUGUCUCUGAUCCAUACACAAUCAUGUCAUCAUCUGACCUAUAAAUGCUUUAAGGGAAAGGUCCAUGUAUCAGACUCCUUUAUGGGGUUAUGAGAAACAGAAAUAGGACUCUACCUCGAUAGACACUGCCCUGUUCUUGGCACUCACACUGUGGAUUUCUUCAAUGAACAAGCUC
rnacentral:lncRNA from 10 species